GGGAGGCAGCAGUGGGGAAUUUUGGACAAUGGGGGAAACCCUGAUCCAGCCAUUCCGCGUGAGUGAAGAAGGCCUUCGGGUUGUAAAGCUCUUUCGGCAGGGAAGAAAUCGCAAGGGUGAAUAUCCCUUGUGGAUGACGGUACCUGAAGAAGAAGCACCGGCUAACUACGUGCCAGCAGCCGCGGUAAUACGCAGGGUGCGAGCGUUAAUCGGAAUUACUGGGCGUAAAGCGUGCGCAGGCGGUUUUUUAAGCCAGAUGUGAAAUCCCCGGGCUUAACCUGGGAACUGCGUUUGGAACUGAAAGACUAGAGUGUGUCGGAGGGAGGUAGAAUUCUACGUGUAGCAGUGAAAUGCGUAGAGAUGUGGAGGAAUACCGAUGGCGAAGGCAGCCUCCUGGGAUAACACUGACGCUCAUGCACGAAAGCGCGGGGAGCAAACAGGAUUAGAUACCCCGGU
rnacentral:rRNA from 1 species